rnacentral:SRP_RNA from 1 species
GCCGGGUGCGGUGGCACGCGCCUGUAAUCCAAGCUACCGGGAGGCUGAGGCUGGCGGAUCGCUUGAGCUCAGGAGCUCUGAGCUGCAGCGGACUAUGUCGAUCGGGUGUCCGCACUAAGUUCGGUAUCGAUAUGGUGUUCCUGGGGAAGUCCGGGACCACCAGGUCGUCUAAGGAGGGGUGCACCGGCCCAGGUCGGAAACGGAGCAGGUCAAAGCCCCCGUGCCGCUCAGUAGUGGGAUCGCGCCUGUGAAUAGACGCUGUAGUGCAGCCUGAGUAACACAGCGGGACCCAGUCUUUU